GGGUCGAUGGCGUAGUUGGUUAUCGCAUCUGUCUAACAUUUGAUGUUCACAGAAGGUCCUCAGUUCAAACCUGGGUCGACUCA